UACGUAGGGUGCAAGCGUUGUCCGGAAUUAUUGGGUGUAAAGAGCGUGUAGGCGGCCCGACGAGUCCGCUGUGAAAGUCCAGGGCUCAACCCUGGAAUGCCGGUGGAUACUGUCGGGCUAGAGUCCGGAAUGGGCGAGUGGAAUUCCUGGUGUAGCGGUGAAAUGCGCAGAUAUCAGGAGGAACACCAAUGGCGAAGGCAGCUCGCUGGGACGUGACUGACGCUGAGACGCGAAAGCGUGGGGAGCAAACAGG
rnacentral:rRNA from 1 species